AGAGUUUGAUCCUGGCUCAGAAUCAACGCUGGCGGCGUGCCUCAGACAUGCAGGUCGAACGAUUAAAGCUCUCUUCGGAGAGUGUAUAGAGUGGCGCACGGGUGAGUAACACGUAAGUAAUCUACCUUCGAGUGGGGAAUAACGUCCGGAAACGGACGCUAAUACCGCAUAAUGCAGCGGCAUCGUAAGAUGACAGUUGUUAAAGAUUUAUCGCUUGAAGAGGAGCUUGCGGCAGAUUAGCUAGUUGGUAAGGUAAUGGCUUACCAAGGCUACGAUCUGUAACCGGUCUUAGAGGACGGUCGGUCACACUGACACUGAAUAACGGGUCAGACUCCUACGGGAGGCAGCAGUCGGGAAUUUUGGGCAAUGGGCGAAAGCCUGACCCAGCAACGCCGCGUGAAGGAUGAAGUAUUUCGGUAUGUAAACUUCGAAAGAAUAGGAAGAAUAAAUGACGGUACUAUUUAUAAGGUCCGGCUAACUACGUGCCAGCAGCCGCGGUAAUACGUAGGGACCAAGCGUUGUCCGGAUUUACUGGGCGUAAAGGGCGCGUAGGCGGCUUUGUAAGUCACUUGUGAAAUCUCCGGGCUUAACUCGGAACGGCCAAGUGAUACUGCAUGCUAGAGUGCAGAAGGGGCAAU
rnacentral:rRNA from 1 species